rnacentral:rRNA from 1 species
AUGUACUUGCAUGAGAAGGAGGGUGGCAAUCCACGAUCACCCCAAUAUAUGCAAGCGUUCCAGGAUAUUGUAGAAGAAUGUGCCUUGCACGACCUUGGCUACAUUGGUGACCAAUACACUUGGCGUCGAGGAAGAAUACGGGAAAGACUAGAUAGAGGGCUUGUAAAUGAUUUGUGGACAUCCCAAUUCCCUCAUGCGGCAUUGCGGAAUUUAGAGUUCAAUCAUUCGGAUCAUAGACCUCUUCUGGUGGACACUGACUUCUAUGUUCAGCCAUCAAGCUGUUCGAAUACACAUGUCAAAAGAUUUGAAGCUAGAUGGCUGAGAGAGAAGUUAUUCAAUGAGAAAGUAAUGGAAGCAUGGACGGAGGCUGCAACAGACCCAAACGCAACAAGCAUACAUGAAAAACUCAAUAAAAUGCAUGCUAGCUUCCAUGAUUGGGAUCAGAGGGUUCUCAAAAAACCAAAAAAACGAUUACGUAAAGCUCAAAGGGAGCUGGAGAGAAUCAUGAAUGGCCCUAUGUCAGAUGAGAAUGAUGAAAAGAGGAAAGAACUGACAGAAUUGAUUGAAUAUCUGUUAUAG